UGCGUAGGCGGGUUUUUAAGUCAGGGGUGAAAUCCUGGAGCUCAACUCCAGAACUGCCUUUGAUACUGAAGAUCUUGAGUCCGGGAGAGGUAAGUGGAACUGCGAGUGUAGAGGUGAAAUUCGUAGAUAUUCGCAAGAACACCAGUGGCGAAGGCGGCUCACUGGCCCGGUACUGACGCUGAGGCACGAAAGCGUGGGGAGCAAACA
rnacentral:rRNA from 1 species